UAGCACAGAGAGCUUGCUCUCGGGUGACGAGCGGCGGACGGGUGAGUAAUGUCUGGGAAACUGCCUGAUGGAGGGGGAUAACUACUGGAAACGGUAGCUAAUACCGCAUAACGUCGCAAGACCAAAGUGGGGGACCUUCGGGCCUCAUGCCAUCAGAUGUGCCCAGAUGGGAUUAGCUAGUAGGUGGGGUAACGGCUCACCAAGGCAACGAUACGUAGCCGACCUGAGAGGGUGAUCGGCCACACUGGAACUGAGACACGGUCCAGACUCCUACGGGAGGCAGCAGUAGGGAAUCUUCCGCAAUGGGCGAAAGCCUGACGGAGCAACGCCGCGUGAGUGAUGAAGGUCUUAGGAUCGUAGAACUCUGUUAUUAGGGAAGAACAAACGUGUAAGUAACUGUGCACGUCUUGACGGUACCUAAUCAGAAAGCCACGGCUAACUACGUGCCAGCAGCCGCGGUAAUACGUAGGUGGCAAGCGUUAUCCGGAAUUAUUGGGCGUAAAGCGCGCGUAGGCGGUUUUUUAAGUCUGAUGUGAAAGCCCACGGCUCAACCGUGGAGGGUCAUUGGAAACUGGAAAACUUGAGUGCAGAAGAGGAAAGUGGAAUUCCAUGUGUAGCGGUGAAAUGCGCAGAGAUAUGGAGGAACACCAGUGGCGAAGGCGACUUUCUGGUCUGUAACUGACACUGAGGCGCGAAAGCG
rnacentral:rRNA from 1 species